GAAGAAAUCUUUGGUUAUUCAUACAAAAACUGAGUUGAUGGGAGACAAGUCAUAAUCUAAUGUUUUUGUUGAGGGACAGAGUGAACGUUGCUAAUGGAAUAAACCCUGAGGCGGAGCUGGUGUCUGUGUCUGAGGUGUCAGGGCCUGGA